AUUCGUUUCAUCCACUUUGAUGAAAUAAUACCGAAAAGAAAAGAAAAACAUAGAAAUACAAAGAAGGAGAGUUUUGUUUUCACAUUUUUUUAUUGUGAAAAAAAUCCUAAAAGGAGAGGUAGAGGUGAGUUUUGAAGAAGAAGAAGAAAGGAUGGUGCGGAGCGGACUGUACUGGCGGCAACAAUGGCGAUUACGAGGUCCUCCAAGGUGGGAGAGGUAAGAGAGUAUUAAUUUUCUUUUUUAAUUCCUCAACUUAGGAGAAAACAUUCUUUGUUAAUUUCACUAAUGACAAAAUGACCAAAACUGAGCAUUCAUUCUUUAAACUUUACGGUAAAAUUACACUAUCUUAAAACUUAAAACAUAGUGUGAAGCUUCACAGGAAAAAAAAACAUAGUUAUUUGAUCGAUAUACCCUUAACAAAUUUUAGAAUUCUCAAGUGUUUUGUGAGUAAAAAAAGUUUCAAACUCAUAUAGUUGCAUGGUUUAUCGUUUUUAAUAAAUACAAUCACUUUAAUAUGAUUUAUAAUAAUUUUCUUUUAUCGAAAUAUUUAAUUAGCAUUUCGUUAAUUCGUUAAUGCAUUGCUUUUAUUUAAAAUAAAGAUCUAAAAACAAUUAUAAAUUAAAAAACUAUACUCUAAUAAUCUAGAAAGGAAGAAAAAGUCUGAAUGGCAGUAGUUAAAAUAUAGCAAAGAAUUUGUUUUGGGCUAUGUAUUCAAAAGAAUAAAUUAAUAAAACUUCCAUAUAAAGAUCAAAGGGUGUUGUGAGAUUUACACAAUCUAUUUGGUCAACAAAUGGAUGCACAUUAGACAUAAUUAUUAUUUUUUUGUCAAAAUUUCACUUGUUUUAUUUAUUUAUUUAAGAUUUAGUCAAAAUUAUUUUUUAAGAAAAAAUAAAUCCAACGACAUUUUUCUAAGUGAUACUGUUGUCAAGAGGGAAAAAAAAUGAGAGCACAUUUUUUUAAAUAAUAGUAAUAAUAAUUAGGUAAGUUAGUGUAGGGGUGUUAUUAAAAGUCAAAUUACAGAUAAUGCAUUUAAAGGAAGUUAUUUGCAUGAAUAUAAUUUAUCAUUUAUUCUUCAUAUAAUUAUUUAAUUAUUUGUUUAGAAGUCAUAAUUUGUUCGCAAUUAAAUGUGAAUAUUGGCCCUACACUUUCUUCAACAAACAUAAAUUUGGAAUAAUAUAAAGCGGAUCUCAUCCCUUUGUUGUAAAACGAUUGUGAAUGUCAAUAUAUUAAAUAUGAAUAAUAACUCUGUAUAUUUUUAAUAAGUAUAUGUUCAUUGCUAAAAAUAUAUCACCAACAUUUAUUCUAGUCGUUAUAAUCUUUAGAUCUUCAUAUAUAAUAUAUUGAAAUAAAAUUGAUAAUCAACGUGAAUAUAACUUAAUUUACAAAACUUGUAUUGUCCACUUUUGUUGUUGGAGGUUUCAUCAUCCAUCAACGAUAAUAUAAUCAAUUAUAAAUAAUAGUUAAUUUAAAAUAAUCGAGGUGAGCAUCAACACCCGAAAAACCGAUCCGAACGAUCAAGAUCAACCAAAUUGACACUCGAUGGUCGGUUUAAUUAAAAAUAUGGUUGAUGGUCAGUUUAAUUAAAAAAAAUGACCAAAACUAAGCGACUUGUUACUCGAAACCAAAACUAAUCCCAAGUAUAAACUGACUAGGUAUGUUUUUGUAAAAAACCAACCUUGCUUGACCGAUGAUCAUCAGUAUUAGACAACAACAAGGAGGAGACCUACAACUUGGAGCUAAAGCACAAAGCAGAACAUAUAAUAUGAUAGCAAAUGCGCAAGGGGAGCACCACCAAACUCAAACACAUUAUAGAACAAGCCAAGAAGAAAAUAACACAACCAAAACAAGUUAUGCUCAAGAGAAAUAAGAAAAAACAUAUAGAAACAAAAAUAACGCAAAACCUCUAAGGUAAACCAGCAAUAUCCUCAAGCUAGGAAGCAACACAAGCAGCCUUACAAUCACAAAAAGCAUCACAAGCCAGAGCUUCACUCAAACGACGAUUACGCUCUUGCCAAAUAAAAUAAAUAGUAGUAUAGCACAAAGUAGACCAAAACUUAUGUUUGACACCCUUACCCAACCUAACAAAAUCCACCACAACUUAACCUCCAACAAAUGACACUAUGAUAAGAGCCCAUCAAAACCCAAAAUCUCACUCCACACCCAAAAUCAUACAAUUUAGAAAAUAAAUUAAAACAAAAUUAAUUACAAUAUUCUAAAAUGAAAGAAUAAAUUAAAUCAUACUAAAAUCCUAAGAAUAUGAAAGGUAAUAUUUUUAAAAAAAAUUUGAACAAAAAGAAGUUAAUUUUCGUAAAAUAGAACAUACUACAAAUAUCAAAGUAUUUCCAUGUUUUAUACAGAAAAUUCACACCAACCUUUUAAAAGUAAAAUAAUGGCUGCCAUUGAAAAAAUGUUAAUGGUCAAAAUAAAAUAAAUGUGGGUGGAUGGAUUAAAUAUAAAAUAAAAUAGUUGUCUAUGAGAUUCCGUUCCGCCCACCCUACGUGACGGUGACCUUUACAAAUUAAAAUGGGAAGAAAAGUGGGACCGAAUAAGGAAAUAAAUAAAAAGAAUUUGAGUGGCUAAAGUUUAAAUAAAAUAGAAAUAGAAGGUCCUGAAUGUAAAUAAACUGACUUCCUUAUUGGAUGUAGACCCUUGCCGAACCACGGACGGACGAACGGACGAACGGACGAACGGACGGCGCUUGUCGUUUAAAAUUAAAAAGAUUUCGAAAUUGGGGAG
rnacentral:lncRNA from 1 species